rnacentral:lncRNA from 1 species
UCUACAAGCAGGACUAAGAAGACAUUCUUUUGGUUUUCUUUGGAUGGAUCCCCAACAGUAAGAGUAACUUCCUGUCAUCACUGUCAUUGUUAACUGUCAACUGUCUCUCAGUAGCUGCAUGUGACUCUAUGACCAUGACUACUGUUCUCCAUGGCUAUCGAGGGUUCCUCUUCCUGGGGGAGGAGCCCAGGGAUGCUGAGUAUGAAAUUGGCAGCCUUGUGAUUGGGAUGCCCAUUCUAUGAUAGGUACUCAAGCUUUGCGGACAUUGAAUGUGAG